rfam:Candidatus Sungbacteria bacterium RIFCSPHIGHO2_02_FTLL_49_20 rifcsphigho2_02_scaffold_12072, whole genome shotgun sequence.
GCCGCGGUGGCGGAAUUGGCAGACGCGUACGGUUCAGAGCCGUAUAUCCGUAAGGAUGUGUGGGUUCAACUCCCACCCGCGGCA